rnacentral:rRNA from 1 species
UACGUAGGGGGCGAGCGUUGUCCGGAUUUAUUGGGCGUAAAGAGCUCGUAGGCGGUUUGGUAAGUCGGGUGUGAAAUCUCCACGCUCAACGUGGAGGGGCCACUCGAUACUGCCAUGACUCGAGUCCGGUAGAGGAGUGUGGAAUUCCCGGUGUAGCGGUGAAAUGCGCAGAUAUCGGGAGGAACACCCGUAGCGAAGGCGGCGCGCUGGAUCCCUACUGACGCUGAGGCACGAAAGCGUGGGGAGCAAACAGG